UACGUAGGGCGCAAGCGUUAUCCGGAAUUAUUGGGCGUAAAGAGCUCGUAGGCGGUUUGUCGCGUCUGCCGUGAAAGUCCGGGGCUCAACUCCGGAUCUGCGGUGGGUACGGGCAGACUAGAGUGAUGUAGGGGAGACUGGAAUUCCUGGUGUAGCGGUGAAAUGCGCAGAUAUCAGGAGGAACACCGAUGGCGAAGGCAGGUCUCUGGGCCGGUACUGACGCUGAGACGCGAAAGCGUGGGGAGCGAACAGG
rnacentral:rRNA from 1 species